AGCAGUGUGGCUCAGUGGAAAGAGCCAGGGCUUGGGACUCAGAGAUCAUGGGUUCGAAUCCCGGCUCUGCCA
rnacentral:tRNA from 1 species